GAUACUCAGGAGUAGUAUUGCUGAAGUAAGUGGACGGUAGCUCACUCGAGAUUAGCCGGAGAGUUUCCGUAUUUUAGUUGAGGACUAGGUAAUGAGUCAAUGCUCUGGUCAUGUAACACGGGGUAGAUUGUUAGUAUUGAACUCAUAUCUUAUUUGGAUAUGCAUUACGUUAUUACUUGUGAACAUGUUUGAUUGCAAUUGCUGUUGGAGAGGCCAUCGUGCCAAAUAUUCUGGAUAUGGUUUUAUUUUAUCUUGAGGAGAUUAUUGAGAGAUGAUCAUGGUAUGGG
rnacentral:lncRNA from 1 species